rnacentral:rRNA from 1 species
CAGCAGCCACGGGAAUACGUAGGUGACAAGCGUUGUCCGGAAUUAUUGGGCGUAAAGGGCUCGCAGGCGGUUUCUAAAGUCUGAUGUGAAAGCCCCCGGCUCAACCGGGGAGGGUCAUUGGAAACUGGGAAACUUGAGUGCAGAAGAGGAGAGUGGAAUUCCACGUGUAGCGGUGAAAUGCGUAGAGAUGUGGAGGAACACCAGUGGCGAAGGCGACUCUCUGGUCUGUAACUGACGCUGAGGAGCGAAAGCGUGGGGAGCGAACAGGAUUAGAUACCCCCGUAGUCCCUGUCUCUUAUAC